UUCCUACGGGACGCAGCAGUGGGGAAUAUUGCACAAUGGGGGAAACCCUGAUGCAGCAACGCCGCGUGAGUGAAGAAGUAUUUCGGUAUGUAAAGCUCUAUCAGUAGGGAAGAAGAAAGACGGUACCUGACUAAGAAGCCCCGGCUAACUACGUGCCAGCAGCCGCGGUAAUACGUAGGGAGCAAGCGUUAUCCGGAUUUACUGGGUGUAAAGGGAGCGUAGACGGCUGUGCAAGUCUGAAGUGAAAUGCCGGGGCUCAACCCCGGAACUGCUUUGGAAACUGUACAGCUAGAGUGCAGGAGGGG
rnacentral:rRNA from 1 species